CGUAGGAUGCAAGCGUUGUCCGGAUUUAUUGGGCGUAAAGAGUUCGUAGGCGGUUCGUUAAGUCUGAUGUUAAAGACUGGGGCUCAACCUCGGAAAUGCAUUGGAUACUGGCGGACUGGAGUACAGUAGAGGCAAGUGGAAUUCCCAGUGUAGCGGUGAAAUGCGUAGAUAUUGGGAAGAACACCGGUGGCGCAAGCGACUUGCUGGGCUGUAACUGACGCUGAGGAACGAAAGCUAGGGUAGCGAAUGGGAUUAGAUACCCCAGUAGUCCUAGCCGUAAACGAUGGAUACUAGGCGUAUCGGGUAUCGACCCCUGAUGUGCCGCAGCAAACGCGAUAAGUAUCCCGCCUGAGUAGUACGGCCGCAAGGUUG
rnacentral:rRNA from 1 species